AACCCUGCCGCUUUUUUGUUUGCUUUUUUGUCUACACAAACACAAGCAUGCUAAAAUGCAUAUUGAUAGCUACAUACUGUUGAUAUUCUAAAUGCUUUUGGCCUAAGAUGUCUCCAGCAGCAGCAGCUUACCUAUCGCAUUUCAUAUUUCAAACUUCACUGUAUGAACAAUACAAUAUACAGUAUAAAAUGGUAUUUUGCACGGCCAUAUACACGAUAUGUUGGAGACCGCCUAAGCAACACAUAUAUAUAUUCUUUUUCAGAAGAAGAGAGAGGGAUAACAGUGUUUUGGUAAUUGUGCAAAUUAAUACAUAUUCUACUGCAACUAGAAGAAAACUGGCAUUUCUGUACUUAGGAUUCUCAUGUGCUUAGUGCAUUCCCUCUUCCCCUGCUAGGGGGAAAUGGACGGACCUGAGGAGAACACAACGGCAACGAGCUGCAGAUGUAUCUGAGGAUGAAAGAUCCAACACCAGAUCUAUGCGCAAAAAAAAAUUGCAAUUUGCAUCGCAUUCAGGGUCCAAAGUCCACACCUAGCGCCACCAAGAGAAGAUUACUCUGAAACUUUGCAGAGACCCAGAUCUGUCAGUAGAUUGCGGUUGAAUUUAGUUUUUAAAAGGUCUCCCAAGCUAACAACAAAGAGCCCAUGUCAAACUAUCGGGACUUUUUCGAUUCAGUAGGACAUGGUAAAUACUUAUGCAAAUUAAGCUAAGGAUUAACAGGAGUACAAUUUCAUCUUUAUGUCCUUGAUGUACAAUGUACGACUUCUCCCUGGAAGGCUUUGGCUUUCUUUGUUGGUUAGCAGAUUUGAAGAUGUUAGAGCUUUGGCUUCUUCUAUCCAUCUGAAUCUUCUGCUCUAUCCA